rnacentral:rRNA from 1 species
GACGAACGCUGGCGGCGUGCUUAACACAUGCAAGUCGAACGGUGAAGCGCCUUCCUUUUUGGUGGGUGUGGAUGAGUGGCGAACGGGUGGGUAACACGUGAGUAACCUGCCCCCUUCUUCUGGAUAACCGCAUGAAAGUGUGGCUAAUACGGGAUAUUCUGGGUCUGUCGCAUGGUGGGUCUGGGAAAGAUAUUGUUUCGGUGGGGGAUGGGCUCGCGGCCUAUCAGCUUGUUGGUGGGGUGAUGGCCUACCAAGGCGGUGACGGGUAGCCGGCCUGAGAGGGUGGACGGUCACACUGGGACUGAGACACGGCCCAGACUCCUACGGGAGGCAGCAGUGGGGAAUAGUGCACAAUGGGCGCAAGCCUGAUGCAGCGACGCCGCGUGAGGGAUGGAGGCCUGCGGGUUGUGAACCUCUUUCGCCAGUGAAGCAGGCCUGCCUCGUUUGUGGGUGGGUUGACGGUAGCUGGAUAAGAAGCGCCGGCUAACUACGUG